UACGGAGGGUGCAAGCGUUAUCCGGAUUCACUGGGUUUAAAGGGUGCGUAGGUGGGCAGGUAAGUCAGUGGUGAAAUCUCCGGGCUCAACCCGGAAACUGCCAUUGAUACUAUCAGUCUUGAAUAUCGUGGAGGUAAGCGGAAUAUGUCAUGUAGCGGUGAAAUGCUUAGAUAUCGUAAGGAAGACCAGUGGCGAAGGCGAAUCUCUGGACAGUUACUGACACUGAGGCACGAAGGCCAGGGGAGCAAACGGG
rnacentral:rRNA from 1 species